rnacentral:rRNA from 1 species
GACGAACGCUGGCGGCGUGCUUAACACAUGCAAGUCGAACGGAAAGGCCCUGCUUCUGUGGGGUGCUCGAGUGGCGAACGGGUGAGUAACACGUGAGUAACCUGCCCUUGACUUUGGGAUAACUUCAGGAAACUGGGGCUAAUACCGGAUAGGAGCUCCUGCUGCAUGGUGGGGGUUGGAAAGUUUCGGCGGUUGGGGAUGGACUCGCGGCUUAUCAGCUUGUUGGUGGGGUAGUGGCUUACCAAGGCUUUGACGGGUAGCCGGCCUGAGAGGGUGACCGGCCACAGUGGGACUGAGAUACGGCCCAGACUCCUACGGGAGGCAGCAGUGGGGAAUAUUGCACAAUGGGCGGAAGCCUGAUGCAGCAACGCCGCGUGCGGGAUGACGGCCUUCGGGUUGUAAACCGCUUUCGCCUGUGACGAAGCGUGAGUGACGGUAAUGGGUAAAGAAGCACCGGCUAACUACGUG